AGCAUUAGGGGAGCCCACGGCUACAAAACAAGUGAGAAGAGGUGGGAGAAAGAGAAACUACGCCACCUCCUCUGCAGCCGAGCGCACGCAGCAGCCUGGUGUGACAAGUGGGCGACGCCGGGGGCAGGGAGUGGGGGUCCUCCGCCCGCUCCGGGGACCUUGUCGCCCACCGUGCGCAGAGCAACUUUUAACCGGCAGCCCCGCACCUGUCUCAGAGAGUCCCCAUCGCUCCCCACCAACCACCAUGGGAAAAUUCUAGAAGAAUACGCUCUCAGAAUCUACGUGCGCAUCAUUUUCCUCCUCGCUCCAGAGGAAGGAACCAGAAAAGAGGGCAAAGCGGUGUAGUGUUCAGCCUCAAGAACCACCGUGCAUCCCUGGGAUGGUGCCCUCUACAGGAGGAUCUUUGCCUCACUUUUGGGAAUCUCUUAACUGCAUCUCGUUGAUUCUUAGGGUUAGAAGAAUUGCACUAACAGGAGUCUGCAACCUCUCUGCCCUGCUGAUGCACCCAGGCAGGGCUCACUGAUUUGCAGGAGUACAUGACCACAGAUCAGAGCCACUGCAGGCUGCACAGAUACCUGACUGGGCGCUCAGGAAGACUCAGGCAGAGAUGGGGAGUCGGCCUGCAAGCUGGGAUGCUAGAGCUCAUAUGCAGUUCUCCAUUUAGCUAGGAGGUUUCCAGGGCAACCACUGAAGCAGUAAUUAAAGAUCAAGAGCUAAAAGGUAUGUACUUAGAAAUCUGAAUCCUGAAACAAGGUGGUCGGCAGGCUGGUGUCACAGUGUGCACUCUUCUUCACUUAACAUUAAGUAAAUAACUUUUUAAAAUAAAAUUUUAAAAACCCCUAAUUUAAUUAGAGGAUACACACUAAAUUAGGAUGUGCAUGCUAUGCUUUUAUUUUUAUCUUUUCACACAUGCACAUGUAUUUUUGUAUACACACACACACACACACACACAUAUAUAUUUUUAUACGUCCACCAGCCAGUCAUGGGACCAGGCAUUGGAAUACCGGGCUUAAGGUGUCUUUUGGGUUCCUAUUUUGAGCGUCCCAACGUAUAUAUUUUUUAAGGCAUGCAAAUGAGCAACUACAGAGGCGUCUAUAGUACUUAUGUGUAGCAGGUACAUCCAAGGCUCUCCAGGCAGUUCACGGGUGGAUACACAGCCUGACAAGGUGAUCACCAUUCCUCCAUUCUUUCCUUGAGCGAACUGUACCCAGAGAUGUAAAGUGUUUGCCCUGGGUUAUGAACCUUGUUUGCCUGAUAGUUCAGUGCAUCAGUGCAGUAACAGGGCUGUUGAGGGAGAGUUCCACCAAAGCAGUGGCGCCAUUGAGAAGGUAGAAAACAGAGCUGUAAUGGAAGCUUCAGAAGAUGACGAGUCUAUUCCCAGGAAUAUGGGUAAAGUUUGCCCAUGCAAAUGCUGCAUUUCACGGGUUUAAAGCAGUUAGGGACCCUGGAAGAUGGGAGAUAUUUACAAAAAGCAAAGCCCCGAUCUCUACACCUUCAAAGAAAAGAUGCAGAAAUCUCCACUUUUUCAGACCAGUACUUAUUUCACUUAUGCACAGGUAUGUGGCUGAAGCUGUAGGUAGGUAGCAUGGGAGACUUUGGUAAGUGUAGGCUCUAGGAUUUUCCCUGUAGCAAAAGUAAGGAAUCUGUAA
rnacentral:lncRNA from 1 species